rnacentral:lncRNA from 1 species
UCCAUUCUGCCCAGCGUCAAGAGCCCCGAGUUGAUAUCCGACCCGAGAUCCGGCUGCGCCAGCACCCGAUCCGCGAUCAUCUCCACCGUCACGUUCAUCCUCGCCGUGCGCCGCGCCCGCGCCCUCCCCGCGGGGCCGCGCGCCUUGCCGACCGCCGCGCCGCGGUAGAACAGCGCCGACGUCGUCUCCGGGUACCGGAAUGACGCGAAGUUGGGGUUCUUCACCGACACGUCGGCGGUCAGCGACAUGUUGCUGCCUGGCCGUGGCGUGGCGAUGCCGUUGAUCAGAUCCGCGCCGCAGCAGCUGCAGCAGCGGAGGAGUUGCCGCUGCUGUUUGACGGUGAAUUUGAUAUCUCGGAGAGUUCGAUGAAGAGCUGCCUGAGCGGUUUGGCUGACCUCUGCCGGUGGUGGUCGGCUGAAAGCCGUCUUCCGGCCGUGGCGUAUGGCAGUGGACGGUGGCAAUCCCGGCCCCGAUGGCUCCCGAUGAUGAAGGGUCCGGGUUGGUUGCCGGCUGUAGCCGGGCGGCCUCCCAUCUCACUCUUGAGAAUGCCGACUCGGCUGAGGGAACUUCCUUGAGAAUGUCCCGACGAAGUCUGUCAUAUCUCCUAUCAAAUCCGGAGAGGAACUGAAAUAAUCGGUGAUUUCCGAUCAGUUUUCUGUGCUUAUUGAUCCCUUCUUCACACCAGUCGAGUGGAUUUGGGUAAGUUCGAUCCAUUCUGUGGAUUUGUUGAAUUGAUUCAUUUGAAUCUGUUUGGUUUAUGGCUUCAAUCUCUCCUGGCAUUUUUUUUUCAGGAAAUGAAGAACAGAGGUUUUGGUUUGGUGUAUUGGUUAGGAAUGGUUUGGUGUAUUGGCUAGGAAUGGUUUUGGUUUUGGAUUAUGAACGAUGAUGAUUCGUUUCUGAGUUCCUAUGGUUGAACCUGCUGAACCUGCUCUGAGACCAUGUUAAAA